GCACUAAGCAGUGAUGAUUUGAUUUUACAUGUACUCUCUGGUCUAGGUCCUGAUUAUAAUUCUGUUGCUACUUACAUUACUGGACCAGUAGGAACUGGAAAAAUGAAUGUUUAUGAGGCUUAUGCUAUGCUGUUAACUCAAGA
rfam:Citrus clementina cultivar Clemenules unplaced genomic scaffold scaffold_5, whole genome shotgun sequence.